rnacentral:rRNA from 1 species
UACGUAGGGGGCGAGCGUUGUCCGAAGUUACUGGGCGUAAAGAGUGCGUAGGCGGCUUGACAAGUUGCAUCUAAAAGGCGGCAGCUCAACUGACGAGCGCGGUGCAAGACUGUAAGCUUGAGGCAAGCAAAAGAAUGUGGAACUCCGAGUGUAGCGGUGGAAUGCGUAGAGAUUCGGAAGAACACCCAUGGCGAAGGCAGCAUUCUGGGCUUGACCUGACGCUGAGGCACGAAAGCCAGGGAGCGAACGGGA